CAGCGCGGUCAGGGAGACACAGAAGUGGGGUGAAGGUAUCGCAUCACCCACUGGACGGGAUAUUGAUGGCAAGUACCUUGAUCAGAAUGAGCAAGACUUGAAGACGAGGUACGUAAAGUUUCAGAAAGACUGGCCCUUAUUUGGCAUCACGUUAAUGUGUGAUUCAUGGACUGGUCCGACGAGGAUGAGUGUCAUCAACUUUUUGAUAUAUUGCAAUGGGGUCAUGUGGUUCCAUAAGUCUAUUGAUGCGACCGGAAGAACUCAAGAUGCUGCAUAUUUGUUCAAGGAGAUUCAAAAGGUGGUGGAAGAGAUUGGACCGAAGAAUGUCGUGCACGUAGUCACCGACAACGG